UAGGGAAUCUUCCGCAAUGGACGAAAGUCUGACGGAGCAACGCCGCGUGAGUGAAGAAGGAUUUCGGUUCGUAAAACUCUGUUGUUAGGGAAGAAAAAAUGUAUAGUAACUAUAUACAAAAGAGACGGUACCUAACCAGAAAGCCACGGCUAACUACGUGCCAGCAGCCGCGGUAAUACGUAGGUGGCAAGCGUUGUCCGGAAUUAUUGGGCGUAAAGCGCGCGCAGGUGGUUUAGAAAGUCGGAUGUGAAAGCCCACGGCUCAACCGGGGAGGGUCAUUGGAAACUAAUAAACUUGAGUGCAGGAGAGAAAAGUGGAAUUCCUAGUGUAGCGAUGAAAUGCGUAGAGAUUAGGAGGAACACCGGUGGCGAAAGCGGCUUUUUGGCCUGCAACUGACACUGAGGCGCGAAAGCGUGGGGAGCAAACAGG
rnacentral:rRNA from 1 species